AACGAACGCUGGCGGCAUGCCUAACACAUGCAAGUCGAACGAGACCUUCGGGUCUAGUGGCGCACGGGUGCGUAACGCGUGGGAACCUGCCCUUAGGUUCGGAAUAACUCCCCGAAAGGGGUGCUAAUACCGGAUAAUGUCUUCGGACCAAAGAUUUAUCGCCUUUGGAUGGGCCCGCGUUGGAUUAGCUAGUUGGUAGGGUAAAAGCCUACCAAGGCGACGAUCCAUAGCUGGUCUGAGAGGAUGAUCAGCCACACUGGGACUGAGACACGGCCCAGACUCCUACGGGAGGCAGCAGUGGGGAAUAUUGGACGAUGGGCGAAAGCCUGAUCCAGCAAUGCCGCGUGAGUGAUGAAGGCCUUAGGGUUGUAAAGCUAUUUUACCCGGGAUGAGAAUGACAGUACCGGGAGAAUAAGCUCCGGCUAACUACGUG
rnacentral:rRNA from 1 species